CCUACGGGAGGCAGCAGUGAGGAAUAUUGGUCAAUGGGCGCGAGCCUGAACCAGCCAAGUAGCGUGAAGGAUGACUGCCCUACGGGUUGUAAACUUCUUUUAUAAAGGAAUAAAGUGCGGCACGUGUGCCUUUUUGUAUGUACUUUAUGAAUAAAGAUCGGCUAACUCCGUGCCAGCAGCCGCGGUAAUACGGAGGAUCCAAGCGUUAUCCGGAUUUAUUGUGUUUAAAGGGUGCGUAGGCGGAUGGAUAAGUUAGAGGUGAAAUGUCCGAGCUUAACUCGGGAACUGCCUCUAAUACUGGUCAUCUAGAGUGUAGAGGCGGGAGGCGGAAUGUAUGGUGUAGCGGUGAAAUGCGUAGAGAUCAGAAAGAACACCGAUUGCGAAGGCAGCUCACUAAUCUAUAACUGACGUUGAGGUACGAAAGCGUGGGGAGCAAACAGGAUUUGAUACCCGAGUAGUC
rnacentral:rRNA from 1 species